AAUUGCCAUUAAUUGACUCGAACGCAAUUGAAAACAACCGCAGGACACAUUAACUGUACCGUUACAAUGGGGAAAACUUACAACUUAUUUCUAUUGCUGGCUUUAGUGACAAUUCCUGCGUACUCUAGUGGAGGCACGGCACCUAAUUAUUGCUCCAGUACGUAUACUAAAAUAUGCGAAAAUAAAGGACAGCACAUCGGCUGUAAUCCAAAGGACUUUUCUGCCUACGGAGCGUGCUACAACUUGCACCCGAGGAUGAUUAAAAUUACGAAUCAGUACAAAAAUCUGAUACUGAAUCAACAUAAUAGCCUAAGGAAUACGCUGGCUAGUGGCAAAAUGUCCUCAACGUAUGGUACUUUUCCCAGCGCCAAGAAGAUGCCAAAACUGAAAUGGAAUGAUGAGUUAGCGAAGUUAGCUGAGUUGAACGUGAAACAGUGCGAAAUGGAACAUGACAGAUGUCGAAGUACCGUCAAGUUCAAAAACGCUGGGCAAAAUAUUUACUACAGUUCGUGGUCGGUUAAAAGGACCAACCUGGAAAAGCUCAUUAAAGAAGGAAUCCAAGCGUGGUGGGAUGAGCAUAAAGAUUUUUACCUCAACGAAGUCGAUAAAUAUCAAGGCCAGAGUUAUGGAGUGUUGCACUUCACCGCGAUGGCUGUGGACUAUCAGACCGAUGUUGGUUGUGCCAUAUCGAUGUACGACUACAGCGGAACCGGUGACACUUUUCUAAUGACAUGCAAUUAUUCCUCGUGGACCUGGCUGCAGAAAGCCGUGUACAGUAGAGGCCAACCGUGCUCUGGAUGUCCGGGGAAAAAGUGUGACAGGACGUACAAAUUCCUGUGCGGUAGUUAGAUCUUUAUUUGAAACACACAAAGGUUCAAGUGUUCUCUGGCAAUGCUGCAAAAACGUGCCAAAAUAAAACGAUUAAUAGAGCUGCAAGACCCAAGACAAUUUUUUCUCGUGUCUAGUGUCUUUGACAUAUGUCUGAAAGUUGAUUAAUGUUAUUCCGCUACUGUAGGUUUUAUUCCAUAAAUUUUUCGUCGUUGUCUAGACCAAGCUGGUAUGCAAUUAUUCGGCUGUUCUAUUAAUAGUAUUAUUUCGUAAGAAGAAUUGGAAUCAUCGAUUUAAUGGAAUGUGUAUUAGAUCCAUGUUUAACCUUAUGUGACCAGCUUUAGAUUUCAAUAAUACAAAAUAUUUGUUGUCGGAGAAAAUGUCCCAUGCAUGGAAUUAGAUGGGACAUGAGCAAUUAAAACUCGAGAAUGGUGGAAAUUCAGAGAGAAGUUAAUAAUUAACUCCACAUAAAUUGAUUUAUUAUCAGUUUUUGUGAAUGUAACUGUAGUCAAACUUAAAAAGAUGAUGGGUUUGUAUGC